GUUUAAAAACACUGAUUUUGUAAAUCAAUAAAUAAAAUAAUUUAAACA
rnacentral:tRNA from 1 species